rnacentral:rRNA from 1 species
ACUACGGGUGGCAGCAGUGAGGAAUAUUGGUCAAUGGGCGCGAGCCUGAACCAGCCAAGUAGCGUGAAUGAUGACUGCCCUACGGGUUGUAAAUUUCUUUUAUAAAGGAAUAAAGUGAGGCACGUGUGCCUUUUGGUAUUUACUUUAUGAAUAAGGAUCGGCUAACUCCGUGCCAGCAGCCGCGGUAAUACGGUGGAUCCGAGCGUUAUCCGGAUUUAUUGUGUUUAGAGUGAGCGUAGAUGGGUUGUUAAGUCAGUUGUGAAAGUUUGCGGCUCAACCCUAAAAUUGCAAUUGAUACUGGCAGUCUUGAGUACAGUUGAGGUAGGCGGAAUUCGUGGUGUAGCGGUGAAAUGCUUAGAUAUCACGAAGAACUCCGAUUGCGAAGGCAGCUUACUAAACUGCCACUGACAUUGAUGCUCGAAAGUGUGGGUAUCUAACAGGAUUAGAUACCCCAGUAGGC